rnacentral:rRNA from 1 species
GACGAACGCUGGCGGCGUGCCUAAUACAUGCAAGUCGAACGCUUCUUUCCUCCCGAGUGCUUGCACUCAAUUGGAAAGAGGAGGGGCGGACGGGUGAGUAACACGUGGGUAACCUACCCAUCAGAGGGGGAUAACACUUGGAAACAGGUGCUAAUACCGCAUAACAGUUUAUGCCGCAUGGCAUAAGAGUGAAAGGCGCUUUCGGGUGUCGCUGAUGGAUGGACCCGCGGUGCAUUAGCUAGUUGGUGAGGUAACGGCUCACCAAGGCCACGAUGCAUAGCCGAACUGAGAGGGUGAUCGGCCACACUGGGACUGAGACACGGCCCAGACUCCUACGGGAGGCAGCAGUAGGGAAUCUUCGGCAAUGGACGAAAGUCUGACCGAGCAACGCCGCGUGAGUGAAGAAGGUUUUCGGAUCGUAAAACUCUGUUGUUAGAGAAGAACAAGGACGUUAGUAACUGAACGUCCCCUGACGGUAUCUAACCAGAAAGCCACGGCUAACUACGUG